rnacentral:rRNA from 1 species
UACGUAGGGUGCGAGCGUUAAUCGGAAUUACUGGGCGUAAAGCGUGCGCAGGCGGUUGGUUAAGUCUGAUGUGAAAGCCCCGAGCUCAACUUGGGAAUGGCAUUGGAAACUGGCUGGCUAGAGUGUGGCAGAGGGGGGUGGAAUUCCGCGUGUAGAAGUGAAAUGCGUAGAGAUGCGGAGGAACACCGAUGGCGAAGGCAGCCCCCUGGGCUGACACUGACGCUCAGGCACGAAAGCGUGGGGAGCAAACAGG